UACGUAGGGGGCUAGCGUUGUCCGGAAUCAUUGGGCGUAAAGCGUCUGUAGAUGGUUAAAUAAGUCAACUGUUAAAUCUUGAGGCUCAACUUCAAAAUCGCAGUCGAAACUAUUAGACUAGAGUAUAGUAGGGGUAAAGGGAAUUUCCAGUGGAGCGGUGAAAUGCGUAGAGAUUGGAAAGAACACCAAUGGCGAAAGCACUUUACUGGGCUAUUACUGACACUGAGAGACGAAAGCUAGGGUAGCAAAUGGG
rnacentral:rRNA from 1 species